AGCGGUAAUGGUAGUAAAAAGCGAAUUACUAGCGGUAGAGGUAGUUCAAGUAGUAGAUAUACCCGUGUGCCUUCGCCUCCGGUACCGCUUGGUACACCUUUUGAGGAAGAAAUAGGUGUAGGUGCUCACAAUAUGGAUUAUGUAGAAGCUCAGGAAAAUUACGGUAUAGAAGAAGAAAAUGAAGUAGAUGCGGUUAAUUUAGAUGAAGAUAAUGAAAAUAUUGCUGAGACACCCGCAGUAGG
rnacentral:lncRNA from 1 species